rnacentral:misc_RNA from 1 species
GCAAGAUAAUCACGCAUCUAAUUUCAUACGUGCCUAUUACCACGUAAUAUAUAAUUAGCUGUCCGUAAGGUCGGCGUCUGUGGUCCUGCGAUAAGAUCGUAUUAUUAUCUCGUAGUCACGUUUAAUCAUAUCUGUAGUAGAAGUGGAUUCGCUAUAUUCCACGUGGCCCAGGCUGUCCUAUACCGCUAAGAAAAAUAUUAUGACCGAAUCCAUUGCGAAAACCAUUUGCCCUAAACUACUAGCCACUCGUCUUCGAGAAAGCAGAAGACAAACACCAGCACAAAUUGAAACCGGACAUCAACUAACCAACCACCGUUAGAAAAAAUUCAGUUGCAAUUGUUACCAAAAACCAUUUGCCUCAAACUAUUAACCAUUGACCCUGGAAAAAGCAGAAAAAAAAACCACUUGCACAAAUCGAACCCUUCCAACAACCCCAUCGAUUAUUCCCUCUGAUUCGCAGUAAUCACGCCGGACUAUUCAACCCCUUCCCACCGACGAACACGUGACAUUCGUUUCAACCCCCUAAACGCAACCCUGCCACGCUUACAUUCGGCCGUAGCAAGAAGAACGUAACGCGGCAUGCACAAAGGGCUAACCGA